GCUUAACACAAGGGUUAGGGUUAGGGUUAGGGGUUAGGGUUAGGGGGGUUCGGGUUAGGGGUAGGGGUUUGGAUUACGGGAAAAGGGGGACUGUCUCCUAGAAUUGGAGACAGGAGGUGCACGGUCCAUCCCCCUGUUCCCUGUCCCCCACGACCCCGUGUGGUACUGCUGAUUUGUGCGCUACGGGCGUCGACCACGCCUUCUCCCUUAUCGCACUUCAGUCCAUUCUUGCUCAUUGUAAUUCAUGAUUGUUUUUAAUCUUUUUAAUUAUUUAUUACUAUUUAUUAAUGUGGUGUAUUUAUUAAACUAUCUAUUUAUUUAUCGGUGUAUUUAUCUAUCUAAUUUAUUUAUUUAU